rnacentral:rRNA from 1 species
UGUUGCCUACGGGACGCAGCAGUGGGGAAUAUUGGGCAAUGGGCGCAAGCCUGACCCAGCAACGCCGCGUGAAGGAAGAAGGCUUUCGGGUUGUAAACUUCUUUUCUCAGGGACGAAGAAAGUGACGGUACCUGAGGAAUAAGCCACGGCUAACUACGUGCCAGCAGCCGCGGUAAUACGUAGGUGGCAAGCGUUAUCCGGAUUUAUUGGGUGUAAAGGGCGUGUAGGCGGGAGCGCAAGUCAGAUGUGAAAACUCAGGGCUCAACCCUGAGCCUGCAUUUGAAACUGGGAUUCUUGGGUGGUGG